CAGCCGCCGCGGUAAUACGUAGGGUGCAAGCGUUAAUCGGAAUUACUGGGCGUAAAGCGUGCGCAGGCGGUUCGCUUAGACAGAUGUGAAAUCCCCGGGCUUAACCUGGGAACUGCAUUUGUGACUGGCGGUCUAGAGUAUGGCAGAGGGGGGUAGAAUUCCACGUGUAGCAGUGAAAUGCGUAGAGAUGUGGAGGAAUACCGAUGGCGAAGGCAGCCCCCUGGGCCAAUACUGACGCUCAUGCACGAAAGCGUGGGGAGCAAACAGGAUUAGAUACCCCAGUAGUCCCUGUCUCUUAUAC
rnacentral:rRNA from 1 species